GACGAACGCUGGCGGCGUGCUUAACACAUGCAAGUCGAACGAAGGGCGAUGGAAGCUUGCUUCUAUCAAUCUUAGUGGCGAACGGGUGAGUAACGCGUAAUCAACCUGCCCUUCAGAGGGGGACAACAGUUGGAAACGACUGCUAAUACCGCAUACGAUCUAACCUCGGCAUCGAGGAAAGAUGAAAGGUGGCCUCUAUGUAUAAGCUAUCACUGAAGGAGGGGAUUGCGUCUGAUUAGCUAGUUGGAGGGGUAACGGCCCACCAAGGCGAUGAUCAGUAGCCGGUCUGAGAGGAUGAACGGCCACAUUGGGACUGAGACACGGCCCAGACUCCUACGGGAGGCAGCAGUGGGGAAUCUUCCGCAAUGGACGAAAGUCUGACGGAGCAACGCCGCGUGAGUGAUGACGGCCUUCGGGUUGUAAAGCUCUGUUAAUCGGGACGAAAGGCCUUCUUGCGAAUAGUGAGAAGGAUUGACGGUACCGGAAUAGAAAGCCACGGCUAACUACGUG
rnacentral:rRNA from 1 species